UCCCAGACUCCUACGGGAGGCAGCAGUGGGGAAUAUUGCACGAUGGGGGAAACCCUGAUGCAGCGACGCCGCGUGAGCGAUGAAGUAUUUCGGUAUGUAAAGCUCUAUCAGCAGGGAAGAAAAUGACGGUACCUGACCAAGAAGCCCCGGCUAACUACGUGCCAGCAGCCGCGGUAAUACGUAGGGGGCAAGCGUUAUCCGGAUUUACUGGGUGUAAAGGGGGCGCAGACGGCAAUGCAAGCCAGGAGUGAAAGCCCGGGGCCCAACCCCGGGACUGCUCUUGGAACUGCAUGGCUGGGGUACAGAAGGGGCGGGCGGAAUUCCUAGUGUAGCGGUGAAAUGCGUAGAUAUUAGGAGGAACACCGGUGGCGAAGGCGGCCUGCUGGACUGUGACUGACGUUGAGGCCCGAAGGCGUGGGGAGCAAACAGGAUUAGAUACCCCAGUAGG
rnacentral:rRNA from 1 species